GGGGCUGAUCGGUUUCGACUUGGGACGUUAGUUCCAGGGGAAGCGGGUCGAGAAGCCAACGUCAUCUCGUAAACGAUCGUUGGAAACCUAUAAGUGCCGACUCCAAGCGCACUGACUUCGCUCUCGCUGCCUGAGCAGUGACCGAAGGGUCAGACCGGGCAUCCGCCUUCGUCCCGGACCCUGGCCUCAUCCAGAGGGCUUGCUGAUCAAUUCCUGUCAGGAGGGUUGAUCGGGACUUUUUCCUGACUGGGCCUGUCGGCGACGUGUCUGUGCGAGCGCCGGGGCCGAGUAGGACGAACAGCACAGACUGCACCCGGAGAAGACCUGGUUCGACGCUCGAGGACGCGGGUUCGAUUCCCGCCAGCUCCACUC
rnacentral:tmRNA from 1 species